rnacentral:rRNA from 1 species
GGUAAAGCGAAUGAUUAGAGGCAUUAGGAUCGAAACGAUCUUAACCUAUUCUCAAACUUUAAAUGGGUAAGAACCUCACCUUUCUUGAUAUGAAGGUCGAGGUUAUGAUAUUAUGUGCCCAGUGGGCCACUUUUGGUAAGCAGAACUGGCGCUGUGGGAUGAACCAAACAUUAUGUUAAGGUGCCCAAAUUUACAACUCAUACAGAUACCAUGAAAGGCGUUGGUUGCUUAAAACAGCAGGACGGUGGACAUGGAAGUCGUAAUCCGCUAAGGAGUGUGUAACAACUCACCUGCCGAAGCAACUAGCCCUUAAAAUGGAUGGCGCUAAAGUUGUAUACCUAUACAUAAUCGCUAAAGUAAAUGGCUUAUAAUUUUUAUUAAUUAUAAGUUUUUAAACUUUAGUGAGUAGGAGGGUACAAUGGUGUGCAUUGAAGUGUUUGGCGUGAGCCUGCAUGGAGCCGCCAUUGGUACAGAUCUUGGUGGUAGUAGCAAAUAAUCGAAUGAGACCUUGGAGGACUGAAGUGGAGAAGGGUUUCGUGUGAACAGUGGUUGAUCACGAGUUAGUCGGUCCUAAGUUCAAGGCGAAAGCUGAACAUUUUUUAAGUUAUAAAAAAUAUAAAUAUGGUAUAUAUAUAUAUAUAAUAAAACACUUAAAAAUUUAUGAACGAAAGGGAAUACGGUUCCAAUUCCGUAACCUGUUGAGUAUCCGUUUGUCAUUAAAUAUGGGCCUCUGUGCUCAUCCUGGUAACAGGAACAACCAUAAAGAAGCCGUCGAGAGAUAUCGGAAGAGUUUUCUUUUCUGUUUUAUAAUCGUACUACCAUGGAAGUCUUUCGAAGAGAGAUAUGGUAGAUGGAUUAGAAGAGCAUGACAUUUACUGUUGUGUCGAUAUUUUCUCCUCGGACCUUGAAAAUUUAUGGUGGGGACACGCAAACUUCUCAACAGGCCGUACCAAUAUCCGCAGCUGGUCUCCAAGGUGAAGAGUCUCUAGUCGAUAGAAUAAUGUAGGUAAGGGAAGUCGGCAAAUUAGAUCCGUAACUUCGGGAUAAGGAUUGGCUCUGAAGAUUGAGAUAGUCGGGCUUGAUUGGGAAGCAAUAAUAUGGUUUAUGUGCUCGUUCUGGGUAAAUAGAGAUUUUGAUUUAUUUCAGAAUUUUGUUCCCCGGAUAGUAGUUAUGUAGCCAAUUGUGGAACUUUCUUGCUAAAAUUCUUAAGUGUUUAUCAUUUACGGAUGUUUAAAUUACUUAUUAAUUAUAACGACUAUCAAUUAACAAUCAAUUCAGAACUGGCACGGACCUGGGGAAUCCGACUGUCUAAUUAAAACAAAGCAUUGUGAUGGCCCUAGCGGGUGUUGACACAAUGUGAUUUCUGCCCAGUGCUCUGAAUGUCAAUGUGAAGAAAUUCAAAUAAGCGCGGGUAAACGGCGGGAGUAACUAUGACUCUCUUAAGGUAGCCAAAUGCCUCGUCAUCUAAUUAGUGACGCGCAYGAAUGGAUUAACGAGAUUCCUACUGUCCCUAUCUACUAUCUAGCGAAACCACAGCCAAGGGAACGGGCUUGGAAUAAUUAGCGGGGAAAGAAGACCCUUUUGAGCUUGACUCUAAUCUGGCAAUGUAAGGAGACAUAAGAGGUGUAGCAUAGGUGGGAGAUAUAUAAUCUUUAUGGUUAUGUAUCAACAGUGAAAUACCACUACUCUUAUUGUUUCCUUACUUACUUGAUUAAAUGGAACGUGUAUUUUUACUUAGCCAUUUUACGGAUAUAUUUCAUAUAUUUUAUGGUAUUGGGUAUUGAUGCAAGCUUCUUGAUCAAAAUACAAAGAGUAUGUUAUAUAAUUGUAAACAAAUUUUGAUGAACAAUAAUUUAACUUUUGUUGAAUUAUUAAUUAAUUGAAAUUUGGUAUAACUCCAACACUCUGGUAUGAUCCAAUUCAAGGACAUUGCCAGGUGGGGAGUUCGACUGGGGCGGUACAUCUCUCAAAUAAUAACGGAGGUGUCCCAAGGCCAGCUCAGUGCGGACAGAAACCACACAUAGAGCAAAAGGGCAAAUGCUGACUUGAUCCCGGUAUUCAGUACAUACAGGGACAGCAAAAGCUCGGCCUAUCGAUCCUUUUGGUAUAAAGAGUUUUUAACAAGAGGUGUCAGAAAAGUUACCAUAGGGAUAACUGGCUUGUGGCGGCCAAGCGUUCAUAGCGACGUCGCUUUUUGAUUCUUCGAUGUCGGCUCUUCCUAUCAUUGUGAAGCAAAAUUCACCAAGCGUUGGAUUGUUCACCCAUUCAAGGGAACGUGAGCUGGGUUUAGACCGUCGUGAGACAGGUUAGUUUUAUCCUACUAAUGACUUAUAAAUUGKUGCGCCAGCAUUCCUGCGUAGUACGAGAGGAACCGCAGGUACGGACCCAUGGUACAAUACUUGUUCGAGCGAACAGUGGUAUGAUGCUACGUCCGUUGGAUUAUGCCUGAACGCCUCUAAGGUCGUAUCCGUGCUGGACUGCAAUGAUAAAAAUGGGGCGAUUGCCAUUGUAUGACUUCAAAACUAUUUUAAGUUUAUAUAUUCAUUUAUAUAAACGAUAGUUUAUAUUUGAUGUCAAUGUUAAAUGUAACAUAGCAAGCAAGGAGGAUUUUAUAUCACCAUGCGACGUGCUAGUUACAUUAAAAAGCAUUUUAAUACAAUGUCAAGGCCCAGAAUCAAUUGUAAACGACUUUUGUAACAGGCAAGG